GGAGAAUCAUAUAAAAAGGGAAUUUGGUGUAAAACCAAAACAGUGCCCGCUACUGUAACAUCUGUUUAAUGUGAAAGCAAGUCUACUAUACCACUGUCUUUUAAAGAUGGGAAGGGUGCUUUCUCGAUGAAGUCAGGAAACCUGCCAAACUAAAA
rnacentral:ncRNA from 1 species